UACGAACUGUGCAAACGUUAUUCGGAAUCACUGGGCUUAAAGGGUGCGUAGGCGGCUUAUCAAGUAGGGUGUGAAAGCCCCCGGCUUAACCGGGGAAUUGCGCCCUAAACUGACGAGCUGGAGUGGGACAGGGGUGUGUGGAACUUCCGGUGGAGCGGUGAAAUGCGCAGAUAUCAGGAGGAACACCGGUGGCGAAGGCGGUUCUCUGGGCAUGUCCUGACGCUGAGGAGCGAAAGUGUGGGGAGCGAACAGG
rnacentral:rRNA from 1 species